rnacentral:other from 1 species
AAGUCCCUGCUGUGUUCGUGACGUGGCCUUAUAGUUCUUGAACCAAUGCCUAUGGCAAAAGGUUGCUGGAUUGACAAGUAGGCGUGAUCGUCUCUUUUGACGAACCCGAAGCUUGGCUGAUGGCGACCGCCUUGAACCCUCGGUUCCAGGAUGCCGGCCUAGACGGCAACGGUGGGGCAAUU